AUUGAACGCUGGCGGCAGGCCUAACACAUGCAAGUCGAACGAGUGGCGGACGGGUGAGUAAUGUCUGGGAAACUGCCUGAUGGAGGGGGAUAACUACUGUAAACGGUAGCUAAUACCGCAUACCAUCGGAUGUGCCCAGAGGGGAUUAGCUAGUCGGUGGGGUAACGGCUCACCUAGGCGACGAUCCCUAGCUGGUCUGAGAGGAUGACCAGCCACACUGGAACUGAGACACGGUCCAGACUCCUACGGGAGGCAGCAGUGGGGAAUAUUGCACAAUGGGCGCAAGCCUGAUGCAGCCAUGCCGCGUGUAUGAAGAAGGCUUUCGGGUUGUAAAGUACUUUCAGCGGGGAGGCGGUAUCCGCAGAAGAAGCACCGGCUAACUUCGUGCCAGCAGCCGCGGUAAUUC
rnacentral:rRNA from 1 species